UUUAGGUUAUAAAACAGUGCCAAUGUUUUCAUGAAGGGGAGUAGGACUUGUGGUAUAAUAUAUUUUAAAUACAAGCUAGCAAUGAUUACUGCUUUUUAGUAUGAAUAGAGUUUUAGAAUUAUUAUUGGAGUGGACUUUUGAGGUUAGCAUUACAGCUUGUCUGUGCAGAUUGAUGUUGGAAAUGGCUAUAUGAAUUGACUUUUAAAAAUAACAAUUACUGUGGCUGAAGGAUAUAAAUGUGUGAUUACUCUCCAAACUCCUAAAUUAGAGAUGUUGUGAAGAUUCUUAACACGUUGACAGCUGGGCGCUCUCUCUUCAGAAGACAUAAGAUUUAAAUCCCCAUUCUGACACUGACAUGACUGCAAAUCUAUACAUCCUGCCUGAGUAUCCUGAACUACCAAACAGAUGCCUUACUUUUACAUGUAUUUUACUGAAAGUCUGAAGAAGACCAAGAGUGAACAUAUUUCCUUUUGGGUCUUUCUAACUCUACCAAACAGUUUCCAAUAUAAACGGACCAUAUAAAUCUUGCAUAAAUAAGAGAAAGAAUGUAGUUGGUAAAUUCUAAAAUAACUAAUGUAAAGAUUCUCCAUUUUCUACAAGAGUGGAAGUUUAAAUUAUUAAAGGUUAAUGUAUUGUGUUUUGAAUUUUCACUCAACUUUAUUUCUCUCUCUACCAUUAAAUGCUUUUGAUUUUUAUUACUUGUUGCUCUACAUAUAAAAUGGUUCUUAAUAUCAAGUUAUUGUGGUUAGGAAUGGAGAAUCUAAAGAUAACAAAAUUUAAGUAUAGCAAUGGUUUUAUAUGGAUAUAUAUGUAUAAUGAUACAUUCAAGAGAUUGCUUGUAGCAAUAUAUGAGUAAUCCUUAUUUACUACCAGUCACAGACAUUUCCUGACUAAAUAUCAAGUCUAUUGCUACAGGUACUUGACUCAGUUGUAAUUGAUCAUAAGUCUAACAGGGUCAAGGGGAGGUAACCCCUCAUACUUUAAGUUUCUUUAGUGUUGACCAAUAUAACUUAGACAUUCUCUUCUUCAUUUUUUAGUAUUUUGUUAGUAAAUUGACAAAGGUUGUUUUGUGAAAAAAUAAAAGCAGAAGCAUAGUUUUAUUUCCAAAGAUAUUAUCUAAAGCAAAACUUGGUUUUCAAUUUUUUGUAUCUCACUGAUAAUAUUUGACCAGUAACAGCUUAAUUAUUAAAAACCUUCCUUUCAAAUGUUAUGAAAAUAGAAAUGAGAACAUAAUUAUCUUUUUGAUUAAGAAAAAAAAUAAUUUUAUUUCUUCUUUCCACUUUUUAUUGGUAAAUUUAUUUGGGUUUUUACUGCAAACUUCACACGGCAGUAGCACGGGCAAACUUUGGGGUUCUGUGUAAUCCUUUCAAAAGUUUUUAUUGCUGUUUUUACAAGUUGUGUAGUGUACAUGUGUUCAUUAUUUCUACUUGUAUCAUAUACAUGUUUUUUAAUGGAUUACACUGUAAAACUAUUGUAAUUUGAGCACUACCAGAGUAAAUGAACUGUUUUACAAAGCAUUUAUUUAAUUUUUCAUUCAUUGAGUUACCCCAAGUCCAAAAAAUUGUAGAAUAUUGAUGAAACAUUUUACUUUCAAGGAAUGUAAAAUAAAAGUUUGUGUAAAACAAUAAUUUGUGUACUUAAUGUAAUUUUAAAUUUUGUAUUUUAUUGAAUUCACAUGAAACUGUUUCUUCUCCUGUAGGAUAGUUAGUGGUUCAAAUAUAUGCCUGUUGAGAAUAACAUUAAAUGAAAGUUUUCAGAAUUUCCACUAAAAAAUAAAAAUAAAAUUUGCAUCAAAGUACACUGUCUGCAAAAAAAGUUCAAUGCAAGAGUCUUUUAUUAUACUCAAACUUUUUGUAUCAUGUCAAUUAAGCAUAGAAAUAACCAUAAAGAAACAAAUUUCUCUUUCCUAAAGCUUCUAUAUGCACUUUUAUAUGUAAAUAUGUGUUACAGCCUAAAUUGGCCUGAACUUAUUUUUAGUCAUGCAUCCCCUUGGACCAUUUCCUAACUGUGUGGUAUGCUAUUGUAACUUUUCCAUCCAAAUAGAAUUAUGCAAAAUUGCUUUUUUAAGCACCCCCUAUUUUAUUUAAUACAUGUACAUAAAAUAACAAGCCCCCCAUUAAUAUAUGGUGAAAUGGGAUAAAAUCAACUUGGUUAUCAGAAUUUGUGAUUAUCUCCCCUCAUUAAAAGAACUUAUGCCAGUGUAGGAAUUUUACAGGAAAUAUUUCGCCUCAAGUCUUUAAAUAAGCCUAAAUCAAACUUGAUUCAUCAAACACCUUGUUUUAAACUUCAGCAGAAUAGUUAAUAUGCUGGUCAAUGCCCCAUGUCCUCUUCAAAAUGAAUAACUGUUUAGAAAGUCCUUAAAUGAUAAAGAAUUGUUUCUUUGAUCCAAACAAUUGAAUAUAAGGGGUAGGGGUAUACAAUAAUCAACUAAUGCAAAGGUUGUCUGAUUUGAUUUCAGUAAAUGUCAAUUAUUGGCUUUCAUUUUUAUGAUUGAAAAAUAAGGGGAGAUAAUUUUGACAUAGUAGAAUCCUGACUGCAAAAGUAGUAGGAAUGAAAAUUUCCAUAUUUUUUUAUCUUAACAGCAUGCUAGGUUUAUUUUGAAUAAUGAAUUUAAAAAAAGUGUUAAUUUCGAAAGUUAUUAUUAAUUGGAAAAUGAAUGAGAGGUUUCCUGAUUUUAACUUGAUCUUUUGAGGAACAUUUUUUAUGCAUUUGGUUCUAACAUAACCUCAAUAAGUAAAUUCUUAGUUUCCAAUUUCUGUUAAAAUUAAUUGCAUAAAUUUACUUAAGGUAAAAAAAAUAACAGCAUUGUAGACAUAUUGCUUGUUCAUUUGGAUCUUUAAAAGCUAUUUCUUUUCUCUGUAAGAUGGUUUUUUAAACCUCAAAAAAAUAUUUGCUAAUCUGACCUGUAAAAUAAGAUUUUUCUUUCUUUAAUUCGUAAUUAUCUAAUAUUAGGAUCUAUUAGUAUGUCCAUCAAUAUCUCCAAUUCAAAUCUCCAGUAUUUAAUCCCUAAAGUUCAUGCCUCUGAUAUAUAUAUGUAAAGUUGGGUUACAUUAAAACAGAAUUUAAGGUUUCAGCAACACCUGAGGGAUUGCUGCAGUGAUUUAAUAAGAUAGACAAGUUUUGGUUCCUACAACACCCUCAUCAGGAUUAAAACUACAGAAGAGCACAAAAUUCACAAGUGAUAAUGUGUUCUUCACAAUUUGUCACCAUAAGAAGAAAUUACAAAUAGAGAGUGAGUGAAGGUAUGACAGUAAACUGGAUUAAGAAUGUUAAAUAAAAUAUGUUUUUGCAAAUUUGGACGACAUUUAAUUGCAAUUAUGUACCAUUUCAACAAUAGAAGUAGUAUAGACCUGCAAAUCCAUACCAUUACAUCACAGGAAGUAGUAUGGUUGUCUGAGCGAAGCCAAUUGGAAGUACGUACCUCUUAGUGAAGCUAAUUGGGAACACACCCUCUGUCUUGUUGCGAAGCUGAUUGGAAGCAGUACAUAUAUACCUCUGUCUGCUAAAGCUAAUUAGAAGCAGUACCCCUGGCAGAGAGGUCCCAAUUAGAAGUAUGUAACUUUGAGGGAAGCCAAUUGGAAGCAUGUACCUCUGCAAAAUUUGAUUAAAAAAUUAUUCAACAAAUUUUAUUUAACAUUCUUUUUACAGUUUACUUGCAUACCAACUCUCAUUUUCUAUUUAUAAUUACUCCCCUUGUUGACAUUGUGACGUGCAAAUUAUCACUUCACCAUUUAGUAGAUCAUUCUAAUAAAUUACUACAACACACGAUCAAGUACUGUUAUAAGUGUAAAAUAGUUUAUUAAUUUUAGUUUAUGCACCUUUAAAUGAUAACUUAACUUACUGUAACUUUUUGAAAGCUAAGGUUCCUCAAGAUCUAUAGGGAGAAUGAUAUAAGUUUGGUGUGAAGGGCAUAUGAUACAGUAACAGGGGAGGUAAUGAUGUUGCUACUGUCUAAUGUUACUUUAAGCCAUGUCAAAAAGUUGCAUAUCAGGAAAAGACCCAUUUUUUGACUGAUUUAACAUGAAAAGGAAUUCAUGGACCUCUCUUUUUAAAAAUUACAUCAGGCUUGAAUAUGUUUAAAGAUUAUUUGUGCCAAUUUGAAGAAAUCACCAAUGGAAUUGUUCUAAAUAAUAUCAGUUUGUUAAUUAAUAUUUGAGGUCUUGAAAAAUCCUUGAAAUAAAAUAAUUACUCAUUGCACCAAAUAGAUUUUACUAGAAAUUAUUUUGUUAUGUAGUAGUUUUAAGUGAAAAUUGAAACUCUUAAUAUUUCUUUUAACAAUUUUAAAUUAUAAACCUCAUAUAUACUUUAAAAAAAAUGUUUUUAAUACAUUAAGACAAUUUUCAGUUAAAAUUCAAUUUUAGAAUGAAUUCAAAGUUUUCCAAUGUAUAUAGCUGCAUACUAGGAAUUGGUAUUUGUUUACUUGACAAAAGUGGAUUUUUAUUUUCAGUCUUCAGGUCAUGUAUAAAAAAUAGAUUUCCAGAAAGUUGGCUCCUGAGGCUUGAACUUCUUUUCUUUACACUUCUGAACCCCAACCAAAAAGAUACACUAGUUUUCUCCGCCAAUUAAAAGUGCUUAAAAACAAUUCAAAAGUUUUGCUAUUUCAGUUAUUGUUUGGAUAUUAAAUACCCUUUUACUUUGAUAGAAACAAAUCAUCACAAUUUUAAUAUCUCAAAACGGACAUCAUGAGGACUCCCCAGUGAGAAUGUGGGAGCCCUACAGUUUUCACUUUGUUCGUCUGUCUACAAUUAUUGUAAAAACAAAACCUCCCCAAAAAUAGAUAGGUAAAUUAAAAUUAUCUUUUCUAUUCACUGUGCUUCCAAGCACUUGGAUUACCAUUCUAGGGUUAUGCCCCUUUACAAAUGGAAAAAUUCCUGAAUGUUUUCGUUUCUGUUCUCUUAAUUUAAGUUUGUCUUAACUAAAUUUAAUGAAAUGUAUAUAUUAUGCUUAUUACCACUAAACUCAGUUUAAGUUCAAAUUUUGACAUCUUCACUUUUACUUUUCUUGAGUUAUGUCUCUUUAUAAAGUUGUAUGCUAGCAGGGGUAUCAUCUGUGUCCCUAUGGACGCAUUGACACCAUUUAUUUUUAUAAUAGUGGAAGCAGAUUAAUUGUUAUUUAGGUAUUUUGUAGCAUGAUGCCUUAUAAUUAAAUUUUGCUCGUGUUUCAUAGAAUUAUGGUUGGAAAUAUUUUGAAAACCUUCACUAUCUUCCCAGAGUGUCAAGUUUCAUGAUCAUGUGUUUUGUUUUGAAUAGUUCUCCUUUAUUAUAGUACGUGUCCAAAGUAUACCUCUUGAGUCAGUUCUUCCAAGCAAAUAGUUACAAAGCAUUUUUCCACUACAUAUUGAUUUUAUCUGGUUUUAAAUACUUCAUUAAUUAUCAUUAUAAUGAUUUUCUUUAUGUGUAUAUAUUUAUGCUUAUGAGUUGUUGUAUUCAUGUAUAUUGUGUGUAUAAUAAUUCCUCAGUCAUAAAAGUACAACAGGAAUUGAUUGUCUUCUUGCUUAUGUGUAAUACAUGUACAUGUAGGCGUAGGAAUUUUAGCAUCAAAAUAUUUUAGUUGUAAAGUGACAUCUUUAUGUAUUUUAGUUCUAACUUGAAUUUUGAACAUUGUAUUUUUAAGGAUGUUGAAAGAGCAAAGAUUUGCAUAAUUUUGUAUUUUGAUAUUAAAUUAAUUUUUAUGAAGGUGGAAUGGCUUUCAUAUAUAUAAUAACAUAAUUUUAUUUCAACUUUUGUACCAUAUAUUUUAUAGUUGUAGUCCUAAAGACAAGAUUUCAUUUUUACUUACAUUAACAAACAAAACAAAACAAUAUACGUCCGAGUAUGUCUCGUGAGACGACUUGUCGCAUUGGGUCGGAGCAUAUAUGACUGUUAAUGCACCGAUGGGUCGGACCCAGGUUUCCAGUUUCCCAUUAUUGGGUUUGUUUGGUUGUUCCUGGCCGGCGAGGUCGUUGAUGAUCGAGUUAUCCAUUUGUUCAGUUAUUCAGUUUUCAUUCAAGUCAACAUCUCUUGUUCCUACAAGGUUUACUUUUUCUAGCUAAGUUGUACCUACUAGUAUAUUUCAAGGUUUUUGUUAUUAGGAAUAAUUGUGGUUAUUGUUUUUUUCAUAUAUUUAUAUAUUAAGACGCAUGUAUGUAAUUAUUUAAUGAAAUCUGUUGUUCACUAUGCUUGCUGGGCUAUCGGCAACACUAUACAUAUAGUAUUCAUUUAUGCCUUAUAAUAGAUAUGAGCGUAUAGGGUAUACAUAUAGUUAUUCAAAUGAAAAAGGUUGACAUGACAUUAUUUCUCUAGUACUGGUACAAGUUAUUGAAUUCAUAUUGUAUUAUGUAUGUUUAUAUUGAUAAUUUGUCUUAUAAAAUGGCAGCUCACAAUAUGCUGUACUCGAGCUAGUCAACAA